GAUGAAGAACGUAGCGAAAUGCGAUAAGUAAUGUGAAUUGCAGAAUUCAGUGAAUCAUCGAAUCUUUGAACGCACAUUGCGCCCGCUAGUAUUCUGGCGGGCAUGCCUGUCCGAGCGUCAUUUCAACCCUCAAGCCCCCGGGCUUGGUGUUGGGGAUCGGCGAGCCUCCGCGCACGCCGUCCCCUAAAUCUAGUGGCGGUCUCGCUGUAGCUUCCUCUGCGUAGUAGCACACCUCGCACUGGGAAACAGCGCGGCCACGCCGUUAAACCCCCAACUUCUGAACGUUUGACCUCGGAUCAGGUAGGAAUACCCGCUGAACUUAAGCAUAUCAAUAAGCGAGGA
rnacentral:misc_RNA from 1 species